GACGAACGCUGGCGGCGUGCCUAACACAUGCAAGUCGAGCGGGGAUUUAAGUGGAAGUUCUUCGGAAUGGAGAUUUAAAUUCUAGCGGCGGACGGGUGAGUAACGCGUGAACAAUCUGUCCCGGACAGGGGGAUAACACUUGGAAACAGGUGCUAAUACCCAUAAGACCACGGCCUCGCAUGGGGCUGAGGUAAAAGGAGCAAUCCGGUUCGGGGUGAGUUCGCGUCCGAUUAGCUAGUUGGUGAGGUAACGGCCCACCAAGGCGACGAUCGGUAGCCGGCCUGAGAGGGUGAACGGCCACAUUGGAACUGAGAGACGGUCCAAACUCCUACGGGAGGCAGCAGUGGGGAAUAUUGGGCAAUGGGCGAAAGCCUGACCCAGCAACGCCGCGUGAGGGAAGAAGGUUUUCGGAUUGUAAACCUCUGUCCUAUGGGACGAAGGAAGUGACGGUACCAUAGGAGGAAGCCCCGGCUAACUACGUG
rnacentral:rRNA from 1 species